UUUUGUGUUCAUAUAUAGUGCAUUUCUUUCUCUACUUGUCAUUUCAUUUUCUCCCUACCCUCUCAAAGAUCCAAAAGGAGUUUUAUUUCUUUUACUGCUAGUGUCCAAAUAAAUCACAGUUUUGUUAUCUUACAGUCUACCAUAUCAGAAUUAAUUGGAGAUGGCUGACAACGAUUCAACUUCUAAUUCACUGUCGGAAAACCAAGCCCCUAAUCCUGAUGGGAAUUCCGCUUCAGAGAAUGAGAGUGAUAUAUCAAUUGAUGCUCUAGCCAGACAGGUUCAAGAAUCACUUUCUCUUGCAAAAAGACAUAAAUUUUGGGAAACCCAACCUGUUGGUCAGUUCAAGGAUCUCGGUGAUUCGAGCUUGCCUGAAGGACCUAUUGAACCUCCAACACCACUGUCUGAAGUCAAACAAGAACCUUAUAAUCUUCCCAGUCUCUAUGAAUGGAUUACUUGCGACAUGGAAUCAACGGAUAUGUGCACUGAGGUUUAUAACCUCCUCACUAACAAUUAUGUGGAGGAUGAUGAUAACAUGUUCAGGUUUAAUUAUUCAAAGGAGUUUCUCCAUUGGGCUCUUCGGCCUCCAGGUUAUUACAAGAGCUGGCAUAUUGGAGUCCGAGUGAAAAGUUCAAAAAAGCUGGUUGCUUUUAUAACUGGGGUUCCUGCAAGAAUCCGGGUGCGAGAUAGUAUUGUCCAUAUGGCGGAGAUCAAUUUCCUGUGUGUUCAUAAGAAGCUUAGGUCGAAACGACUUGCUCCAGUCAUGAUUAAAGAGGUGACUAGGAGGGUUCACAUGGAAAAUAUUUGGCAAGCAGCUUAUACAGCUGGGGUGGUUCUCCCUACACCCAUAUCUACUUGUCAAUAUUGGCAUAGAUCAUUGAAUCCAAAGAAGCUUAUUGAUGUUGGGUUUUCCAGACUUGGGGCAAGAAUGACAAUGAGCCGCACAAUAAAGCUUUACAAAUUACCGGAUUUGACAGUUACUCCCGGUUUCAGGAAGAUGGAGCUCCAUGAUGUUCCUGCUGUUACCCGUUUGCUUAGGAAUUACUUAAAGCAGUUUGUUGUUGCACCUGACCUUGAUGAAAAUGAUGUAGAGCACUGGCUUCUUCCGAAGGAGGAUGUUGUGGACAGUUUUCUGGUUGAGAGCCCUGACACUCAUGAGAUCACUGAUUUCUGCAGUUUUUACACACUUCCCUCAUCCAUUUUGGGCAAUCCAAAUUACUCGAUUUUGAAGGCUGCUUAUUCCUACUACAAUGUAUCUACUAAAACUCCUUUGCUUCAGCUGAUGAAUGACUGUCUUAUUGUGGCAAAACGGAAGGAUUAUGAUGUUUUCAAUGCAUUAGAUGUUAUGCAAAACGAAUCUUUUUUGAAGGAGCUGAAAUUUGGGCAAGGUGACGGAAAGCUCCACUAUUAUCUUUAUAACUACAGAGUAAAACAUGUCCUUAGACCAUCGGAACUUGGGCUUGUACUAUUGUAGUUUGAUCGUCUUAUGAAAGCAUUUCUGGUAUUCUGUGAUGAUUAUUCAGGUUUCAAAGAUGUAUCUGUUGCUCUGUCAUAGUAUCGGCAAUCUGUGAUUGGAUUCUUGUUUAAUUUCUGUGACGCUGUGGAAGACAAAUUUUGCGACUAUGAACUUAUCUUUAUUUUUAUUAGUUUCAUGGGCAUUUGGCCAUUGUUGAGUUUGUGUAUCUGGAUUUUUUGGUUUCAUUUGCAUGUGCUGUACUUGAUUCAGCACAUGAUUGAUACUGAUACCUCAAGAGAGUUAUUUUUGGGUUUCAUCUAGUUAUGCUUCUUUAUAAUGGCACCAAUGAACAGAUUUGAGUAGUUAAUUGUGAUUUAUUCUUACUAUGACACUGUUUGUUUACUAAUCAACUAUGUUUGUAAAUGAUAUCUAGGAAAUCUUGAAGCCUUGGAGUUUGAUUUUUGUUAUUAUAGGAUUUUAUUGAUUCUUUCUUCAUAGCAUCAGUAUUGGCAUCUAUCUUUAGCCAUUCGUUUAUACUUGCAAUUAGUUACCAAAUGCUGGCAUGGAGAUAUUUAAAUGGAGCCUAGGCUAAUUUGUAAUCAUCGAUCGGUUUCUUCCAUGCUGCAGUCGAUCUUUGUUUUUAUUGCCAAUUUCAAGGCAAUGUUUGUUUUAUUGUCCGUAUGAACCCUCCCUGAAGACCUACCUUUAAUCUUCACCAAAGAUCUUAAUUACGAUAUUUACAUUUGUGUAAAUGAAUUUGGAGUUGGGGUUUCAUUUGUGUAAAUGAAUUUGGGUUUUUUUUGUUGAAUCAUUGGCAGGGAUGAUAUUACAUUUGUAGACGUUGUUAACAAAUUUAUUGGGUUUGAAUUUAGGGUUUCUUAAAAUCAGUCAUAACCUUAGACUCUCCGCAUCCUUUUCUUCCUUUUUUUUUUUUCCCGUGAACUUGCUAUUGCAUGCACCGUCACAAUCACAAACCCAACACCCGUGCCGCUACAAUCACAAACCCAACACCCACACCGCUACAAUCCCAAUCCCCAAAUUCCUCUCCACCCCCACCAUCCACCAUAAACAAAUAACUAUUACUCACCAACCCCUCAAAGCACCACAUACAUUUACAAAUUUAAACAAAAACACCACAAAAAAUAUAAAUCAGGAGGGAAAAAAAUGAGAGAUCUACAAAAGACAAAUCUGAAAAAUAAAGAGACAUGGCGACGCAAGAUUGUGAAUCGGAGAAAAUUUACUUAUUUAAGAUGGUGAUUCUGGUGUCAGUGAUGGCUUCACAACAACUCUCCUCUUGGGUUAAAUACAUUAAAAAUACACUGAAAUACAUGACUUAUUUGGUUUUAAUGUCAAAAUACACCGAAAAUACAAAUUAAAUUACAAAUACAGUGAAAUACAAGCAUUUCCGGUGAAGUCAAACAUUCAAGCAUAUUUUUUGGUCGGAAAAGUUUUUGGGGUCAACUUUGUUUAUUGUGUAUUUGGAGUAUGCUAAUGUAAGAUUUUAAACAUUAGAAUCACAAGUGCAAAAAGAUAUAUAUUUUGAGGAAAAUAAGUGUAUUUCACCCUAAAUUAAUUAAUUACUAUUGUUCUCUCCGUUUGAGUCUGAUAUAGGUUAGGGCUUCACAUUUCACACAGAGAAACUCGGACGAGAAGAAAACAAACAAUUGCGGCAUCGAUGGGAUAAAACGGAUCGGCGGCGACAUCGUUCGAACGAGGCUUCCCGUUUGAGUUGUGAGUAAUUUAUUUCUAUUAUUAUUUUCUAUAUAGUCGUUCUUCAGCUUCAAAGCAGAUUUUAUAGGGUAUUAAUCUACCUAUUACCAGUUGAUUCACGUAGAUUUAAGCCAUAAUUGAGUUCAAGGAUUAUAGAAGAACACAUAUAAUCACACAUACAAGUAUAUAACUUUGUGAAUCGGUAUUUAUCAAUCUCAACUAGUCGUUAAACAGACUUGUACAAGAUCUUGGAUUUGCCACUCGUGGAAUUAUUGUCAUUUUUGGAUGCUCUUGAGCUGUUUUUGAGGGAAUUUAACGUGCAAAAGAAUCCAAUUUUCCUUGUUUUGUUAAUAUGAAAAGGGAUGAAAAAGAAAACCGAAGGAAGAAAAAGAGGGUAUCUGAAUUUGAACACUAUUCUUUUACUUUAUCGUUGGAGCUCAGUGUGAGAAAGAAAUGCAAAUAUAAAAGAAUAUUAAUACUGACUGAAGGUAAUAAUCAAAUCAACUGUUCAUUUAAGUUUUUUUUUUAAUUUUAAUUAUACUAUUUAAAGAGCUACAUAUGUUAUGAGAUCUGAAUAAGAAUGUAGAGUUGUGCUUGUGUUAAUUUAUAGUGCAUUUCUUUCUCUACUUAUGCAGAGUUGUGUUUGUGCUCAUAUGUAGUACAUUUCUUUUGCUAUUUUUCAUUUCAUUUUCUUCAUACCCUCUCAAUGAUCCAAAUUGAGUUUUAUUUUCUUUUAGUGCUAUAAUGGCCAAAUAAAUCAUAGUUUUGUUAUCUUACAGUCUACCGUAAUGGCUGACAACGAUUCAACUUCUAAUUCACUGUCGGAAAACCAAGCCCCUAAUCCUGAUGGGAAUUCCGCUUCAGAGAAUGAGAGUGAUAUAUCAAUUGAUGCUCUAGCCAGACAGGUUCAAGAAUCACUUUCUCUUGCAAAAAGACAUAAAUUUUGGGAAACCCAACCUGUUGGUCAGUUCAAGGAUCUCGGUGAUUCGAGCUUGCCUGAAGGACCUAUUGAACCUCCAAUACCACUGUCUGAAGUCAAACAAGAACCUUAUAAUCUUCCCAGUCUCUAUGAAUGGAUUACUUGCGACAUGGAAUCAACGGAUAUGUGCACUGAGGUUUAUAACCUCCUCACUAACAAUUAUGUGGAGGAUGAUGAUAACAUGUUCAGGUUUAAAUAUUCAAAGGAGUUUCUCCAUUGGGCUCUUCGGCCUCCAGGUUAUUAUAAGAGCUGGCAUAUUGGGGUCCGAGUGAAAAGUUCAAAAAAGCUGGUUGCU
rnacentral:lncRNA from 1 species